GAACGCUUCUUAAGGUUUCGGCCUUGAGGGGAGUGGCGCACGGGUGAGUAGCGCGUGGGAACCUGCCCUGUUGUGGGGGAUAACCGCGGGAAACUGCGGCUAAUACCGCAUACGCCCGGUGAGUGAUCAUCGGGGAAAGAUUUAUCGCUUCAGGAGGGGCCCGCGUCGGAUUAGCUAGUUGGUGGGGUAACGGCCCACCAAGGCUUUGAUCCGUAGCUGGUCUGAGAGGAUGAUCAGCCACACUGGGACUGAGACACGGCCCAGACUCCUACGGGAGGCAGCAGUGGGGAAUAUUGGACAAUGGGCGCAAGCCUGAUCCAGCAAUGCCGCGUGAGUGAUGAAGGCCUUACGGGUUGUAAAGCUCUUUCGCCCGCGACGAUGAUGACGGUAUUGGGAGAAGAAGCCCCGGCUAACUUCGUGCCAGCAGCCGCGGUAAU
rnacentral:rRNA from 1 species